rnacentral:lncRNA from 1 species
UAGCUGGGAUUACAGGCAUUUACCAAAAUGUAAUAGAAGAGUUGGAAUUAAAGUUGACAACUAGGCAUGGCGGUACAUGCCUGUAAUACCAGCUAUUGAAGAGGCUGAGGCAGAAGAAUUGCUUGAGAACAGAAGUUGAAAGCCAGCCCAGAUAAUAUGUGUGUAUGUGUGUGCGUAUAUAUAUGUACGUGUGUUUGUGUAUUUGUUUUUGUUUUUUAAGAAAGGAUCUCUCCCUACUCAGGUCAAUGUGCACAUUUUAUAAAUAGCCUCAGCUGGCUAAUUACCUAUGGGCCUUUUUUUUUUCUUCACUUGAAGAAAAAAAUAAAGCAUAAAAAUAAAAUGGCAAACAAAAAAAUCUCUCAGAAGGGCUAGGGCUGUAGCUCAGUGGUAGAGCACUUGCCUAGCAUGUGUGAGGCACUGGGUUCGAUCCUUAGCAUCACGUAUAAAUAAAUAAAACAAAGGUUCAAAACAAGCUCUCCCAGAAAGUAAAGCCAAAAAGACAAAUAUGGAAAACAGAGAAAAGAUAGGAAAAUAAGAUCAGCCUGCACAGCCACAUCAAUGUUUAUAGCAGCACAAUUCACAAUAGCUAGAAUGUGGAACCAACCUAGAUGCCCUUCAAUAGAUGAAUGAAUUAAAAAAAUGUGGCAUUUAUACACUAUGGAAUAUUACUCAGCACUAAAAAAAUAACAAGAUCAUGGCAUUUGCAGGCAAAUGGAUGGCAUUAGAGCAGAUUAUGCUAAGUGAAGUUAGCCAAUCCCUAAAAAACAAAUGCCGAAUGUCUUCUCUGAUAUAAGGGGGGUGACUCAAAAUGGGAUAGGGAGGAAGAGCAUGAGAAGA